CCAUGCGUAAGGUCUUGCUUUAUGCUCCCCAAAAGCAAAUUGGGGUGGGGGAUCCCAUUCAGAUUUCAUUUGAAGGAAAUGCCUUUUUCUAUCCAUUCUCUCUCUGUCUCUCUCUCUCUUUCUCUCUUUCUCUCUCUCUCUCCCUCCCCCCCUCCCUCCCUCUAAUUAGUAAUACUCCAAAACAAACCAUCGCAAAACUUUGGGGUAUAAAACUACCAUUUUAUUGAUCUGGGGUUUAGGAAUUCAGGGGGGGUGCAAUGGAAAAGGUUGGACUCUAUGGUGUCUCUGGCUUCAGCUAGGGAUGCCCUGACAUCUGGGCACUGGAAUAUCAGGAAGCAUCUUCACUCACAUGCGUAGAGGUUGACACUGGCUAUCAGCUGCAAUACCUACAAAAAGACCCUCCGUGUGGUCUCUGCAUGGUAUAGUUUGGACUUCCUCACAGCGUAGAGGCUGGGUUCCAAGAAUAAUAUAAUACCCCAAGAGAGCAAUGCAGAUAUACAUGGCAUUUUUAUGGUCUUGCUUCAAAUGCCAUACAGUGUGAAUGAUUUUUGUCAUGCUCUGUUGGUUGAGACAAUCACAAAGGUCUGCCCAGACUCAAAAGGAGGGAUAUGUGGGGAGGACAGUCAAGGUCAUUUUGUAAGAUGAGCAUGUGGGAUGGGAGACAGUUUUGCAGCCAUCUUUGGAAAGUGCAAUCUGCCACAUGGCACCACCACAGACAAAGAACCCCACAAAUAAGGUUGACUGCAAAAAUCGGGGUAUCGGGCAUCUUUGACUAUUGCAGAUUUAAAGCAAACACUUUGGUAGGCAAAAGAUCACAGCCCAGAGCUAGAAGAAUGAGAAAUCCACCAAGCUGCCUUUGAAGUGAUGAUUACAAACACUAGUCCUGGUAACAACUAGAAGGGUCCUCGACACACAUACCUUCGUUGUUUUAUUACAGCUUAGUUCCGUCUGUACCCCAUUGACAUUUGAUUUAAAUGUACAAGGGUAUUAAAACAUCUGCUGAAUUAUAAUUCCAAAGUUCAGAAGACAGUGAGAUGAAAUCUAUGAAACUAUGAAUUCGUCAUGUUAAAUAGUUUUUUUUUAUUUUUAAUGGAAUACAGAGAGCAGCUGUUUAUAAAGCAGCCCCAUAUGCAAAGCCAUGGAUUUGGUUUAAUUUGCAGCUGAUAUGACCCAUGACUUCUGGAUAUGUUGCAGAAGAGACUUCAGUCUUCAAUAAUGCAGCAUGUCAUAGCAGUCCUGCUCUUGGGGACAGGAGGGGACGGGAGACAGAGAAGGUGGUCAGCACUGAGCAUCCCAUACCUUGGUUUUCAGUACCUUUUUUCCCCUUCUUAAACCUAAAAACCAUGCCCCAGCCUCUUCUUCUAUUUUAAGGAUGUAUCAGGACCAUCUUUUAGGUUUCCAGUUCCACCACUAACCAGGGUCACCAUCAGAUAUUAAGCUAAUAUCCUUAUUUUAUAAGUAAGAGUCCCACUCCUAUUGUUCAAGAAUCAAAUCUUCACAACCUCCUUGCCUCUCCUCACCUGCUAAGAAAAUAUUUGGCCUUGCCCACUCAGCAUCAGCCCCAUUCCUAACUGCUUUCCCCUUCUCCUACUCCUUCCCCUGUGUCUUACUCUGCAGAUAGAGGUGAUCUAUGUGUGAGGGUGGAGGAGGGGAAAGCAAAGGGACAUAAGAGCAGCUGAAGCAUAAAGAAAAAGAGAAGGAAGAAAAGACACAGGAAGGGUGCCAGGAAAGAUCUGGUAGAGGGAGGAACGUACAAUGAGAUUUCCCAGGCAUAUACCAAGUACCAAGAACUGAACUGAAGACAAAUAGGCAGAGUAGGAAAAUAUUGCGGAAGGCAUUCACCUGAGUUCCUCAAAAUGUUCUUUGAGAGGCAGAAGAUGGGAAUCUCUUCUGCUGGCUCCUGGACUUUAUUUCUUUGAAUGAGAAAUGUUCCAAGAGUCAGUCAGUUAGGAUACUUAGAUAUCCAUGGGUUCUAUGCAGCUGAUGAAAAUGAGGCUCAGAGAGGUCAGUAACUGGGAAAGUAACUGCUCAGUUCUACUUGUCAUGAAGGCUAGUGACUUUACCACUAUCACACUGCCAGUAAACAAAAAUCUACAGUCAUUCAGCCUUUAUCACCAACUGGUCAUAAGAAUCAGCUAUGCGGCAGGCCAAAACCCACAACCAAUAUAAAGCAUUUAUGUUGCUACUACACAAAAAAUACCAGCCAAUGAAAAUUAACUCGCAAGACACUGGAAAACUGUUAGUGCCAUUGAUGGAUGCGAAAUAACACAAACUUCCACUUUCUAAGAAAGAAAAUUGCCAAGGAUUUUAUUCGGAGUUUUAAAGUCUUUAAAAGUUCUCAUAAAGUCAAACAAGUAAUUUUGUUUCAAUAAAAGAGAGAUGAACUUCACCCAGCACGGUGGUUCUCAACCUGUCCUCAUGAGAAUAUUAACCCUUGAAGCUAAAAAAAA